rnacentral:rRNA from 1 species
UACGGAGGGUGCAAGCGUUAUCCGGAUUCACUGGGUUUAAAGGGUGCGUAGGAGGGCAGGUAAGUCAGUGGUGAAAUCUCCAAGCUUAACUUGGAACUGCCGUUGAUACUAUCUGUCUUGAAUACCGUGGAGGUGAGCGGAAUAUGUCAUGUAGGCGGAUGAAAUGCUUAGAUAUGAACAUAGAACACCAAUUGCGAAGGCAGCUCGCUAACACGGAAUAUUGACUCUGAGGCACGAAAGCGUGGGGAUCAAAC